rnacentral:tRNA from 1 species
GCCGAAGUGGUGAAAUUGGUAGACACGCUGUCUUGAGGGGGCAGUGGGAGAAAUCCCGUCGCGGUUCAAAUCCGCGCUUCGGCA